GCCCAGAUGGGAUUAGCUAGUAGGUGGGGUAAUGGCUCACCUAGGCGACGAUCCCUAGCUGGUCUGAGAGGAUGACCAGCCACACUGGAACUGAGACACGGUCCAGACUCCUACGGGAGGCAGCAGUGGGGAAUAUUGCACAAUGGGCGCAAGCCUGAUGCAGCCAUGCCGCGCGUGUGAAGAAGGCCUUCGGGUUGUAAAGCACUUUCAGCGAGGAGGAAGGCAUAAAGGUUAAUAACCUUUGUGAAGACGUAC
rnacentral:rRNA from 1 species